GACGAACGCUGGCGGCGUGCUUAACACAUGCAAGUCGAGCGGAAAGGCCCUUCGGGGUACUCGAGCGGCGAACGGGUGAGUAACACGUGAGAAACCUGCCCUGGACUUUGGGAUAACCCUCGGAAACGGGGGCGUAAUACCGGAUAUGACAUUCGACCGCAUGGUUGUUUGUGGAAAGUUUUUCGGUCUGGGAUGGUCUCGCGGCCUAUCAGCUUGUUGGUGGGGUAAUGGCCUACCAAGGCGACGACGGGUAGCCGGCCUGAGAGGGCGACCGGCCACACUGGGACUGAGACACGGCCCAGACUCCUACGGGAGGCAGCAGUGGGGAAUAUUG
rnacentral:rRNA from 1 species